rnacentral:lncRNA from 1 species
GGCUAAUCAGAUGUCAGCUGGGCUGUGUUCUCAGCUAUGCAAGAAUCCACUUUUAAUCUCAUUCAGGUUUGGGGCAGAAUCAGCUUGCAGCUGUAUGAUUCAGAGCCUCAGCUGAUGCUGUUUGUUGAUGAGAUACUGGCCUUGGCGUGGGGAUGUUCCCAGCAUGGCUGCUCACGUCAUCAGGCCAGCAAAAAGAGCCUCUCUUCCUUCUACCAAGAUGGAGCUGUACACAGUACAACACAAAGCCUAAUAACUGGAGCAACAUCAGUGAAGAAGGAAGGAAGUCGGCGGUCUCGCUUGCAUUCAAGAGGAAAGGAUGUGAAUGUUAGGAGCAUGAGGGCCCCCUGGCUUCUAUUCACCACACGAUCUACCAUCCCAUUUUACAGAAAUAGUGUCUGAAAUGAUGGCUUGCUAGAAUUCCCAUGGUGGAAGACAAACCCAUCUUUAAACACCAGUCUCUGGGUCUCUGCUGACUCCACUGCUUCUCCAGUGCAGGGCAUAGAAGACAACCUUGAGUCAUAACUCAUGGAAAAUGGUUAAUGUCCUCCCAGAUUACUGAACAAUUCAUUCUUCACUUUCCAGAGUUCUUCCAAAUAUAGAUUAUUGGUGCUGCACUAGCAAUGUCCUGGGAACACUCAGCUUUUCAGUUCAGCUUUCUUUUUCCUAUAAUGAACUUGAUUAUAUAUGGCUAAGUUUUAGAUAGAAUUUUCAGUUCAGCUUUUUCUUGUAAUGAACUUGAUUAUAUAGGGCUAAAUUUUAUAUAGAAUUAAAGCCAAAAAACUGGAACUCCUGUGCACU